AGCUUGUCAUUCCUGGGUUUUAAUUGUUAGAAAUACGAAUUAAAGAACAGAUAUAACUAAUAUAACUGAGACAAUUAAUAAAUACAAUUUUCGAACCACUCCAAUAGAACAACGUUAACGGUUUUGAGUGGUUUAAGGUCUGACUGACAGUAACGUUAUCCGUAUAAGGGCCAUUUUAACGUAACGUUACAGGGCGGGAAAGAAAGUUAUCUACAGCCACACAUCCACUGUAUACCAAGUUAUGAUGAUCAAUUAUGAGAAUGCAAAAGGAUUGAUAGAUCAGUAAACAAACAACAAAAAGAUGGGUGCUCAUGGUGGCCUCCGAAUAAAUACAUGGACAGGCUGCUAAAGAGGGUCAGGAUGAUGGAGAUGCAAGAGUCAAAGACAGCACAGACCAAACACCAGGCCAGAAUUCUGCAUGAGUCAGAUUGAGUAAUUUUCACUCUAGAGACCCUGGGGUGACCACCAAGGACGAAUGCAAACUCCAGUGAGUGUCUCUAAGGUAGAUCCUAAUGCAGAUGGAUGGAAUGUUGAUCCGCCUAACAUGCAAGAUUUUCUGUACUGAGAAAUUUGGAUGACCAUCAAGACACUACGGAGGGCAUCCUUUAUUCAGUCCCUAAUGCAGAUGGUUGGAGUGUUGAUCCACCUAACAUGAGGGAGCACUCGUUUUGAGUCCUGAAACCCUGGGGUGACCACCGUGAACAAAUACAGACUGCAAAAAGGCAGUCUUGACGGUACUAGGAUGAAUGCAAAUAAAGACUAACCACCUGACUUCAGAGGUCCAGUCUCUUGUGGGAAGCAGGUGUUUGUUACCCCAAAUACGGAUGAAGAGUGACGAAGAGGAUGAUGAUU